AGAACGAACGCUGGCGGCAGGCCUCAAACAUGCAAGUCUAGGGGGCGUAGCAAUACGUCACCGGCGGACGGGUGCGUAACACGUGGGAAUGUACUUAUUGGUUCGGAACAACUCAGGGAAACUUGAGCUAAUACCGAAUGUGCCCGAAAGGGGAAAGAUUUAUCGCCAGUAAAUCAGCCCGCGUCCGAUUAGCUAGUUGGUGGGGUAAAGGCUCACCAAGGCAACGAUCGGUAGCUGUUCUGAGAGGAAGAUCAGCCACACUGGGACUGAGACACGGCCCAGACUCCUACGGGAGGCAGCAGUUGGGAAUCUUGGACAUGGGGGAAACCCUGAUCCAGCCAUGCCGCGUGAGUGAUGAAGGCCUUCGGGUUGUAAAACUCUUUCGACGGGGACGAUAAUGACGGUACCCGUAGAAGAAGCUCCGGCUAACUACGUGCCAGCAGCCGC
rnacentral:rRNA from 1 species